ensembl:snoRNA Gm22504 predicted gene, 22504
GCUGUCCUAGAUCAGCACCACAGACCUGGCCUAGCUGCUCAGCCCUGCCUGUGACAUUGGGGCAAAGAGCAAGUGGCUCUUUCUAUGCUCAGUGUCCAGAAGCCAUUGAGCACUAAGAAUGGUUUAUAGCCUGACAUUA